GGGAGGAGCUGGCCAGGCACAGCCUGUUACCAGCUGCGCAAUGGGCUUCUCAGCAAUGGGCUUCUCAGCAAUGGGCUUCUCAGCAAUGGGCUUCUCAGCAAUGGGCUUCUCAGCAAUGGGCUUCUCAGCAAUGGGCUUCUCAGCAAUGGGCUUCUCAGCAGUGAGCAGCUCCCUCUGGGGGACGCCCAGCUCCAGGGGCUUCAGUCACUCUUCUAGCUCUCAGCCCCCAGCUCUCAUCACAGGAAACACCCUCUUCAAGCCUUUCAGCUAGACAGUGUGCCCUGAAGCCCCGAGUCCUGCUUAACUGGUAGCCUGCUUAUUUGGUUCCUUUCAGUCGGACCUGGUACUGUGAGUGAGGACCGCACACAGUGCCGAUCCUGUGAGGUCAGCCCAAGUCGGCGGAGCUUGUUUUAUAGAAGAGGGAGUGAAUGAAGGCCGUUUGUUAUUCCAGCAUCUGUGAGGACAAGAGGACCAGCUCUCUGAGAACGCUGUGGCCUCCUCCAGAGCCACUCGCCUCGCUCCUCCACAGUGACCCUGUCCAUUCUCUGCCUCUUGAGGAGUCUGCUCUUCUCUCUUCAGAGUUGGGUGUAACUUUUCUCUGAAAAUGGCCGGCCUCUCCUUUGACUUGCUCUCUUUCCUCCGUGUCCCGGCCAUCUACUUUCCGGGACAAGGGCCAGCAACUGUCAUUUCAUCUCCCUUUCGCUCUGGGACUCCUCUGGGACUUCCUCAGCAGCUCAGGAGCCUGUGGACACCAUGGUCCCGUUCUGCCUGGCCUGUGGCUUUCCCGCACUGCUCUGACAGUCUCUUCUCCCCAGGGCCUGGUCUCAGCCUUAGGUCAACAUCAGCUUUGCAGACACGAGUGCCUCUCUCCAUGCCUCAGUUGCUCUGACUCAAGGGAGUGCUCUGCUUCCAGAGAACUGACCUUCUUAGCCCCUUAGUGUUCAACUUUACUGACUUUCUGCGUGACCUACACCUGCCUCCUGAUGAGUGUCUCUCCUGAACUCCAGUGACCAAUGGACAGAUCCAUUUGGAUUUGCUACUGUUCCCUCAAAUCUGACACUAAAGUUGGAAAUAAUGAUCUUUUCUUUAAAAUGUCUUCUCCUACCUUAUUUCUACCCACCAAAAUUGUGUGUGUGUGUGUGUGUGUGUGUGUGUUUCUGGCCUCCCCAAACACAGAGCCACUUAAUAAAUUAAACAAGUAUUUUUGAGAUUUUUCUAUUCAGUUCUGAGGGGUACUCACGUUCUACUUCUGAUCUCCUAGUCCCAGUAACAACCAUUUGCCUAGCCAAGGUGCCCAGGUCAGCAGGAGUUGGGGGGUGGAGGCGAGAGGCAGGCAGAACAG